UGCCACGGCCAUAUCAGCCUGUAGUCCAAGACUGGUAGCCCACUGAAGCUAAGCAGGGUUGAGCCUGGUCAGUACCUGGAUGGGAAACCUCCUGGGAAAACUUGGAGGUGUUAGUGA
ensembl:rRNA 5S_rRNA 5S ribosomal RNA